CAGACCCCGUGGCCUCUUGGACGGGAGCUGUACCUCCCUGCUGUGUGGAACUGGCCAGAUAGUCAGGCAGUUGGGUGCUUCUUUGACAAGAUUCUUCCCAGCUGGCUGAUUAAUAGAUGUUUGCAUUUCCACUGUAAUGGAAUAGUACUGUAAAUGAGCUGUUCAGUCUCAAUGUUAAGCUAUGUGCAUUUUCUCUCUAAGAUUUAAUCUGUCUUUAGCUUUUUUUUUUCUGUAGAGAUGCAGCUGUCACAUGUGUGUCUGGGAAAUCUGUCACCUCUAGCCAGGGGGCAGGCUAGGGAGCUGGGAGCCUCGCUUCAGAAGUCUGACAGUCACACUUUAAGGAAAUCCUCCGGGCGUGCCCUUCUAAGGUGGCAAACUGAAGCUCAGCAGGCUUGCCACGGGCGGCGGCUGUUCUGCUUGUUCUCUUCUCAGCCUUGACAGUUUGUGUAAGCGACACAGCACAAGCAGCCAGCGGCCAAGGCUUGACAUCAGACUCGCUGAAUCCACUCGCCCUUGGUGAUCAGCUCACACCAUAAAACAACCCGAAUGUGAGUGAGACGUUGGAAAGUCCAUGCUCACAGCA
rnacentral:lncRNA from 1 species